AUGCGUAGCCGACCUGAGAGGGUGAUCGGCCACACUGGGACUGAGACACGGCCCAGACUCCUACGGGAGGCAGCAGUAGGGAAUCUUCCGCAAUGGACGCAAGUCUGACGGAGCAACGCCGCGUGAGUGAUGAAGGUUUUCGGAUCGUAAAGCUCUGUUGCCAGGGAAGAACGUCCGGAUUAGUAACUGAAUCCGGAGUGACGGUACCUGAGAAGAAAGCCCCGGCUAACUACGUGCCAGCAGCCGCGGUAAUACGUAGGGGGCAAGCGUUGUCCGGAAUUAUUGGGCGUAAAGCGCGCGCAGGCGGCUUUUUAAGUCCGGUGUCACAGCCCAAGGCUCAACCUUGGGUCGCACUGGAAACUGGAGAGCUUGAGUACAGAAGAGGAAAGUGGAAUUCCACGUGUAGCGGUGAAAUGCGUAGAGAUGUGGAGGAACACCAGUGGCGAAGGCGACUUUCUGGGCUGUAACUGACGCUGAGGCGCGAAAGCGUGGGGAGCAA
rnacentral:rRNA from 1 species